rnacentral:lncRNA from 1 species
GAGAAAGCUUGUUGAUCUUGGAUAAUCUUUGUGUCAACUUGAUGGAUUUAAAAUAAGCAUUGUCUUUCAGCAACAUGAUAAAGGACUGAAACAGACAGUGGCCUUCAAGUGAUGUGGAGAGGACCACUUGAAUGGCUGAUCCUUAAGAACACGAGGACAGCCAAAGAAUGCUGAAGACUUCAAGAGGAGUCGAUCUUUCUGGUGAUACUUGGAAGUUGCUUGAAGUUCCACCAUAAAUAAAAGGUCAAUGGCG